CUCAAGGACCUGUGGGUUCAAAAUCAGGUUUCCUUGCUCACAGCCAGACCUCACAUUCCUGAAAUGUGAACACGGGAACAUCCCUCUGGCUUUUAGGGGGCUGGUGAUAUAAUAAUUCGAGUCACUUGUGUGGGACCCUCCAGGACCCCUCCCACAAGCCUCCCAAUUCAAAGCCAGCCAGACCCAAACCAGGAGGGGCCUGUGAGUCAUCUUCUGUGCACCCUGCAGGGCGGGUGAGGCCUCGGGCCCCAGACGGAGCAGGGAAGGCAGGGUGCUGGCCUCCUGGCUCACCGGCUCACAUGCCUGCUCUGCACAUACAGGACAAGGCACCCUCCCCGGAGGAGCUCAGCUUCACACCGGAAGAGUCUGGAAGCCUUGGGACAGCAUGAAAGGAAAUCAGACCGGACGAGGAAUCAGGAAAAAUGAAACAAAUCUGGAGCCCAUUAAUAAAGAUCUGGAAAGCUCCUGCUCUGUA